GAAAAAACGCAGAUGGAGAAGAGUAAAUAAUCAAUCCGCCAAAAAGGGAGGAAAUGUCCUGGACUGAAAGCAUUUCUUUGGUAGGUAUUAUUGAAUUCACUCCUGAGUUGCCACCUGAACAUUAUGAGUAGGGCUGGCCGGUGAAGAGCCGUUAUUUAAAUGAAGUGAACAGUGUAUUUUCAUUGUUAAAUUGGGUGGUACCGCGAACUCCUCGUCCCUUAU
rnacentral:ncRNA from 1 species